GCGCAGCAGGCGAGAAUAGUCUACAAUGGACGAAGGUCUGAUAGUGCGACGCCGUGUGUGCGAUUAAUUCCUUCGGGAUGUAAAGCACUUUUCUAUGAGAUAAAAGCUCUUUAGGUUAAUAGCUUAUUGAGACGGAUAUUAUUAUAGGAAUAAGCUCCGGCUAACUCCGUGCCAGCAGCCGCGGUAAUACGGAAGGAGCGAGCGUUGUCCGGAUUUACUAGGCGUAAAGGGCUAGUAGGCGACUAAUUAAGUUAUAUGUUAAAUCCCACGGCUUAACUGUGGUCCUGCAUGUAAUACUGGUUAGAUAGAGUACUGUAGAGGAAGGCAGAAUUCCUGGAGUAGCGGUGGAAUGCGCAGAUAUCAGGAAGAAUACCAAAAGCGAAGGCAGCCUUCUGGGCAGUUACUGACGCUGAAUAGCGAAGGUGUGGGUAGCGAACAGGAUUAGAUACCGCGUAGUCC
rnacentral:rRNA from 1 species